rnacentral:rRNA from 1 species
UACGUAGGGUGCAAGCGUUAUCCGGAAUUAUUGGGCGUAAAGAGCUCGUAGGCGGUUUGUCGCGUCUGCUGUGAAAACUGGAGGCUCAACCUCCCAGCCUGCAGUGGGUACGGGCAGACUAGAGUGCGGUAGGGGGAGAUUGGAAUUCCUGGUGUAGCGGUGGAAUGCGCAGAUAUCAGGAGGAACACCGAUGGCGAAGGCAGAUCUCUGGGCCGUAACUGACGCUGAGGAGCGAAAGCAUGGGGAGCGAACAGG